GCCUACAGCCAUACCAUCCUGAGAACGGCCAAUCUCGUCUGAUCUCGGAAGCUAAGCAGGGUCGGGCCUGUUUAGUACUUGGAUGGGAGACCGCCUGGGAAUACUGGGUGUUGUAGGCU
rnacentral:rRNA from 1 species